rnacentral:rRNA from 1 species
AGUGAACGCUGGCGGUAGGCCUAACACAUGCAAGUCGAACGGCAGCACAGUAAGAGCUUGCUCUUACGGGUGGCGAGUGGCGGACGGGUGAGGAAUACAUCGGAAUCUACUUUUUCGGGGGGGUUAACGUAGGGAAACUUACGCUAAUACCGCAUACGACCUACGGGUGAAAGCAGGGGAUCUUCGGACCUUGCGCGGUUGAAUGAGCCGAUGUGGGAUUAGCUAGUUGGCGGGGUAAAGGCCCACCAGGGCGACGAUCCGUAGCUGGUCUGAGGGGAUGAUCAGCCACAGUGGAGCUGAGACACGGUCCAGGGUCCUACGGGAGGCAGCAGUGGGGAAUAUUGGAAAAUGGGGGGAAGCCUGCUCCAGCGAUGGCGCGUGGGUGAAGAAGGCCUUCGGGUUGUAAAGCCCUUUUGUGGGGAAAGAAAAGCAGCAGGUUAAUACAACGCUGUUCUGACGGUACCGAAAGAGUAAGCACCGGCUACCAUCGU